rnacentral:rRNA from 1 species
UACGUAUGUCUCGAGCGUUAUCCGGAAUUACUGGGUGUAAAGAGUUCGUAGGCGGCGAAUUAAGUUAGGUAUGAAAGACCGGAGCUCAACUCCGUGUUUGUGCUUAAAACUGGUUUGCUAGAAUUAGGGAGAGGUAAGCGGAAUUCUAAGUGUAGGGGUGCAAUCCGUAGAUACUUAGAGGAACACCAAAAGCGAAGGCAGCUUACUGGAACUAUAUUGACGCUGAGGAACGAAAGCGUGGGGAGCGAAAAGG